UAACAUAGCUUCAGGAAGGAGGAUGUCACUGAUAUCUGUGGUUCUGAUUCUUGUGUUCUUAUGCAGUGCCGAGUCGGUGGUAACGUUGACUCAGCAACAGGCAGAGUCAGGUAUCCCUGGGCAAUCUCUGACACUGACCUGUGCAACCAGCGGGUUCGAUCUGAGUAGCUACAGUAUGUUCUGGUACGUUGAACGCCGCGGGAACGGUCUGCAAUGGCUUGUAUAUUACUACAGUGAAAGCAACAAUAAGUAUAAUCCAGAGGUGGCAGGACGAGUUACUGCUUCCAAAGAUUCAUCAAACAACAUCUUCGCUUUGACUGUCAAGACAUUGAGAAUAUCAGACAGCGCGAUAUAUUAUUGUGCAGUUGCACCGUGAUAUAGAUCAAAUCCGUCCCUGUACAAAAACCCACGAGAGGAAAUGAAGUAUCUCUGCCGAUUCUCAGAGCACAAAUAAACCCAUCAUUGACUUUAGAAA